ensembl:lncRNA
GAGGGAGGAGAAGAAACAGCUGAGGGCAGAUCUGGAUGAGAAGGAUGAAAUGAUACAGCAGUUGAAGGCACUUCUGGCUGAGAGAGAGCAGUUACCGAUAAAGGAUGCAUCGUGCGGCACUGUCCUGAACGAGGAUGGAGACAGUCUCCAGGAGCUGCUGCAGGGAGUGAGAGAGGUACGGCCGUCUGGUUUAAAAAAAAAAAAAAUCUGAAAUAUUACAGGAGACCGCAGAGGAAGCAGACUGUUCAUUAAUGAACCUGCUCUGUGUAGCUCAUCCAGGUCCAAGGCGAGUUGAAGCAGCAGAAGCCACUGAGUCCUAGAGCCACCCGGAAAGCUGAGCUUCAACAGGCCAAUCAAAUCAUGCAGGCUCUUAAGGAUGAAGUUGAGUAUUUAAGGAACGAGAGGACGUUACUCAGAAAGGAUCUUCAAGAGGCUGCUGAAACGGUGAGAGCACUGAAUGGACUGGAUC